rnacentral:rRNA from 1 species
CCCUUAGACGUUCUGGGCCGCACGCGCGCUACACUGACCAGUGCAACAAGCAUCCGUCCUUGGCCGACAGGCCCGGGCAAUCUUUGAACGCUGGUCGUGAUGGGGAUAGACUUUUGCAAUUUUUGGUCUUCAACGAGGAAUUCCUAGUAAACGCAAGUCAUCAACUUGCAUUGAUUACGUCCCUGCCCUUUGUACACACCGCCCGUCGCACCUACCGAUUGAAUGGUCCGGUGAAAUCUUCGGAUCUGAGAGAUGUCUGAUUAAUUUCGGACGCCUUUUGGAAAAGUUGCUUAAACCUUACCAUUUAGAGGAAGGUGAAGUCGUAACA